GACGAACGCUGGCGGCGUGCCUAAUACAUGCAAGUAGAACGCUGAAGAGAGGAGCUUGCUCUUCUUGGAUGAGUUGCGAACGGGUGAGUAACGCGUAGGUAACCUGCCUGGUAGCGGGGGAUAACUAUUGGAAACGAUAGCUAAUACCGCAUAAUAGUAGAUGUUGCAUGACAUUUGCUUAAAAGGUGCAAUUGCAUCACUACCAGAUGGACCUGCGUUGUAUUAGCUAGUUGGUGAGGUAACGGCUCACCAAGGCAACGAUACAUAGCCGACCUGAGAGGGUGAUCGGCCACACUGGGACUGAGACACGGCCCAGACUCCUACGGGAGGCAGCAGUAGGGAAUCUCUCGGCAAUGGACGGAAGUCUGACCGAGCAACGCCGCGUGAGCGAAGAAGGUUUUCGGAUCUGUAAAGCUCUGUUGUAAGAGAAGAACGAGUGUGAGAGUGGAAAGUUCACAGGUG
rnacentral:rRNA from 1 species